AUCUGGGAAAGCUGAUAAGAAAGCCUGAGUGCUCCUUUGGCAUUCAAAGUUUAAACCAUGUGCAGGAACCCUCAGAUUGGCUACACCCUCUAACAACCAUAAAACCCAAAACCAGUCUUCUUUCCCUGCUCUCUCAAGCCAUGUUUGGAUCACCUUGGGAGGUCUGCCCUGCUCUCUCCAGAAAGCCUUAUUACCUCUGAGCCUCUGGAUCAUCCGGUUCAUCUCGGAGAUUUCAUGUUUGGUGUUGCGGAGGUCGUCGCCAUGCCGGCCAGCUGUCUGCUGCAGCUCCUCAUACUGAUGCCACCAGAAAA